rnacentral:rRNA from 1 species
AAUUCCAGGUGUAGCGGUGAAAUGCGUAGAGAUCUGGAGGAAUACCGGUGGCGAAGGCGGCCCCCUGGACAAAGACUGACGCUCAGGUGCGAAAGCGUGGGGAGCAAACAGGAUUAGAUACCCUGGUAGUCCACGCCGUAAACGAUGUCGAUUUGGAGGUUGUGCCCUUGAGGCGUGGCUUCCGGAGCUAACGCGUUAAAUCGACCGCCUGGGGAGUACGGCCGCAAGGUUAAAACUCAAAUGAAUUGACGGGGGCCCGCACAAGCGGUGGAGCAUGUGGUUUAAUUCGAUGCAACGCGAAGAACCUUACCUGGUCUUGACAUCCACAGAACUUAGCAGAGAUGCUUUGGUGCCUUCGGGAACUGUGAGACAGGUGCUGCAUGGCUGUCGUCAGCUCGUGUUGUGAAAUGUUGGGUUAAGUCCCGCAACGAGCGCAACCC